CAGCAGCCACGGUAAUACGGAGGGUGCAAGCGUUAUCCGGAUUUAUUGGGUUUAAAGGGUCCGUAGGCUGAUCUGUAAGUCAGUGGUGAAAUCUCACAGCUUAACUGUGAAACUGCCAUUGAUACUGCAGGUCUUGAGUAAAUUUGAAGUGGCUGGAAUAAGUAGUGUAGCGGUGAAAUGCAUAGAUAUUACUUAGAACACCAAUUGCGAAGGCAGGUCACUAAGAUUUAACUGACGCUGAUGGACGAAAGCGUGGGGAGCGAACAGGAUUAGAUACCCGCGUAGUCCCUGUCUCUUAUAC
rnacentral:rRNA from 1 species